AAUACCUCCCAUACUAAUACUGCCCAAACAUCAAUGGUCUAGAACCGGAAUGGACACGUGUUGUUGCCUGUUUUACAUGCCGAUGAACACCAUUGAAAGGCAUGGAGAGAAAGAAAUGGGCGUGGGCUGUCUAGAUGGAGAAUACUCGCGAAAAAGAGGGUGUUAUUCCAUUCAACUGGAUCAAGGACACAAAUGUGUUCUGGCCAGUGUGUACCAAUAUUGCGUUUUACACAAGAAGUGUGCUGAGCUUGAUGUAGAGAAAUGGAGAAAAAUUAAGCUCAUAAAGAUUAAACAUUCCUCUCACAGUAUGGAAGAGUGUGAAGAAUAUGACGUAACCACAGCAACUGAGAAUAGUGAUGAAGAGGUUCCAAAGAAACGCCAGGCUAAUCGAAAACUCAAGUGAUUUUGUAUAUGACAGAAACAUCAUAAGUAAUGGUAUGUCACAACACAGUUAGAAAUUUUCAGACAUAAUUGGUUUUUAAAUGUUAAUUAUCAAAUGCUCCAGAAUAAAAUGUGUAACUGUUGGUCUUUCCAAAGGUUUGCCUUUUCAAAAUAUCCUCAGCAUUUAGUUUUUAAACUUUUGUCACAAUUACUUUAACAUGGAGUUAAAGUAUACAGUAUAUUAGCGUAUGAGUAUAUGUUAUAUUUUAUUUCAGUUUAAGAAUUGCAUGAAAAUUAGUGUGGCUACUGCAAAGGAAAUGGUAAAACAUUUGAACAGCAGGCAUGUGAAUUUCAGCAUCACUAUGCACUACACAUCAGCAUUUCCCAAGUUUUAGGUAAAUGCUGCCACACCUGUUUAGUUCAUGCCAUUGUCAAUGCACCGUUCCAUCAUAUAAAACAAUUAUCAAUUUUUUUUAUGAAAAUAAGAUGAGCCACGUAAGUUCAUUUUUCUGGUAAUUCUGACCCUGUAAUAGGACUAUGAAGAUGCUCACACAUCAAUUUUAUGGUAUUUAUUUUGUUGACCUUGUCUUUUGAUAAGUGGACUUCUGAGUUUCUACAUUAUUUUUCUCUAACUCUGAUAUAAAAUUAGAUUAAAAUGUAUGAGGAAACCACACUCAAAUGUGUAUUCCAACUUUUUAGUAAAAUAUUAAUACAAUAAUUUUGAUUAAUGCAUCUGUGCUUAUAGAUCAAAGUCUGAAUACCACAGUUAGACCAUUUAUUUCCUUUUGUUCGUCAUGUGAAAUUGGUGUUUAAAGACUGCCAAGUUUGUGAUGU